rnacentral:rRNA from 1 species
UCCGCACGGUAAACGAUGGAUGCCCGUUCUUCGUUCUUUUGAAUGAGGGACCAAGCGAAAGCAUUAAGCAUCCCACCUGGGGAGUACGCCGGCAACGGUGAAACUCAAAGGAAUUGACGGGGGCCCGCACAAGCGGAGGAACAUGUGGUUUAAUUCGAUGAUACGCGAGGAACCUUACCCGGGCUUGAAUUGCAGGAGAAGGAUACAGAGAUGUUGACGUCCUUCGGGACUCCUGUGAAGGUGCUGCAUG